CUCAACUGGGAGAGUGCCUGGGAAGCCACGGGGCUGGAGUGCCGGAGAGGGAAGCGGAAUUCCUGGUGUAGCGGUGAAAUGCGUAGAUAUCAGGAGGAACACCGGAGGCGAAGGCGGCUUCCUGGACGGACACUGACGCUGAGGCGCGAAAGCUAGGGGAGCAAACAGGAUUAGAUACCCUGGUAGUCCUAGCCGUAAACGAUGGGCACUUGGUGUCGGGGGUAUAGAGUCCCCCGGUGCCGGCGGCAACCCGUUAAGUGCCCCGCCUGGGGAGUACGGCCGCAAGGCUGAAACUCAAAGGAAUUGACGGGGACCCGCACAAGCGGUGGAGCAUGUGGUUUAAUUCGACGCAACGCGAAGAACCUUACCGGGGUUUGAACUGCCGCGGACGUCCUCCGGAGACGGGGGGUUUCCUUCGGGAACCG
rnacentral:rRNA from 1 species